UACGAAGGGGGCUAGCGUUGUUCGGAAUUACUGGGCGUAAAGCGCGCGCAGGCGGUCUUCCAAGUCAGUGGUGAAAGCCCGGAGCUCAACUCCGGAACUGCCAUUGAAACUGUGAGACUUGAGGAUGAGAGAGGUGAGUGGAAUUCCCAGUGUAGAGGUGAAAUUCGUAGAUAUUGGAAAGAACACCGGUGGCGAAGGCGGCUCACUGGCUCAUAUCUGACGCUCAGGCGCGACAGCGUGGGGAUCAAACAGG
rnacentral:rRNA from 1 species